rnacentral:lncRNA from 1 species
GAGCCUGAGCAGAAGGGUGUUUUUUUUUAAAUUGCUCCUUUGGUCAACGUGACCCGUAUUACUUCAUUUGUCGAUCGACAGUUCGCGAGGUGACACACGAAAAUGCAAUCAGUCAUUUAUUUCCACUUGGCAUAGUCUACCUUCAUUGGAAGAAUAGAGCAACGAAAAGCAGCCAUACUGCCCCGACGAACUCGAGGAUUUUCCACGUUGACCUCGAAUGGCGUCCAAAUUACUUUUGGCACCAAAAAUUUCCCGAGACUAGUCCUGCAUGGACGCGCACAGGAGUGGAGAGGAUGCGAACAAUGAAAUUGGCUGCCAAAAGCCUGUAGGGGGCAGCGUGAACGUCUGGUCGGAACUGCUCCGGCCGGAAGUUGACACUGCAGACGUAGAAGAUGAUUCGACUGUAUUCCACAUGCCUCUGCCUGUCGCGUUGCUGCCUAAACUUUGGUGAUAACUUUGCAACCGCCGCUGUUUCAAAGUUCAGUCUUCAACUUAUUGCUUCUAAUUGUAUUAUUGUCUAAAUAAUGCAGCCUAUUUAGAAUAGACGCCAGCACAAUCGGACGCACCAGUUGAGACUGUUUUACACACACAUUAGGAAAUUUGCCGUUAAUUAGGAAUGCAUUUUCUUUCUGUCGCUGGCUAAAUAGACUUGAUGAAUAUGCACGAAAAUUUGACGAAUCACGUCAAUCGAAAUAGAGUUGCGUGAUAAUCGAGAAUGACGAGUGCCAUGGUUCUUGGCUGGCAGCUAUUGCUGAUGCUGGCGAUAACGUGAGGUUGACUUCGUCCAUGUUGUCGGACGUUCCGCGAUACUGACUACACUUUUUCACCGUGUGCGGCUGAUGGUUGCUGUUGCAGCAAUGUUUGUGGAUGAACGUGCCGCUCUCCUUGAUGACGAUGAGCACUGUUUGGCAAUACUAUACAAUUCUAUAUUCGU